rnacentral:lncRNA from 1 species
AGAUUGGGUACAGUUUUGGCUUGAAUGUUCAUGAACUUGUAUGAGUUAAUGUUUCUAUCAUGCCUGCAAUUGGAGAUUUAUGAAUAUUUGGUUUUGGUUUUACAUAUUUAUGCAUUGUGGUUUUCUACCCCUCGAGGUAGUUGGUUUUCAAAAUGGAGUUUCCGAGUGAGAAACAGUUUUAAGAAAGGUUUUCGAAUGGUUUUAUAAAUGAUCAAUAGAGUUUAAAAGCAAAGCUUCUAGUGGGAAGUACUUUUAAAUAGGAUGAUUGUUGUAUUGUGCAUCGCAUCAUCCAGCACCUAAGGAGUGUUUAGAGGCAUGCAUCAUCUCUAAGGAUCGCUAGUUGUAUGUAAAUGCAUUGCAUGAAUUGCUUGUGGAUUGUUAAAUGUAGGUUGUUGUUGUGAUCCUCAUAUUGUCAUUGGUACGCUGUGCAAAUAUAAAGAAGACUCUGUCCGUAUGGUCAGAUGAACUUUAUAUUUGUGGCGGAUCAGUACGUCACCAGUGCCAGGUUGAAAAAAAAAUGCACGUUUUCUGCAACUCCGAUUUCAAAAAUUGUAUUUGUUAUAAAAAGGCUUUUAAAAUUGACCCCGAAGCAUGACACUUCUACUUCUUCAAAACAUUCCCAAACCUUGGAAAAAAAAAUUAUGACUUCUCUUCCUUC